GACGAACGCUGGCGGCGUGCUUAACACAUGCAAGUCGAACGGAAAGGCCCUUCUUUUGUGGGGUGCUCGAGUGGCGAACGGGUGAGUAACACGUGAGUAACCUGCCCUUGACUUUGGGAUAACUUCAGGAAACUGGGGCUAAUACCGGAUAGGAGCUCCUGCUGCAUGGUGGGGUUUGGAGAGUUUCGGCGGUUGGGGAUGGACUCGCGGCUUAUCAGCUUGUUGGUGGGGUAGUGGCUUACCAAGGCUUUGACGGGUAGCCGGCCUGAGAGGGUGACCGGCCACAUUGGGACUGAGAUACGGCCCAGACUCCUACGGGAGGCAGCAGUGGGGAAUAUUGCACAAUGGGCGGAAGCCUGAUGCAGCAACGCCGCGUGCGGGAUGACGGCCUUCGGGUUGUAAACCGCUUUCGCCUGUGACGAAGCGUGAGUGACGGUAAUGGGUAAAGAAGCACCGGCUAACUACGUG
rnacentral:rRNA from 1 species